CCCUUAGAUGUUCUGGGCUGCACGCGCGCUACACUGACGCACGCAACAGGUGCCUGCUCCGAGAGGACUGGGUAAUCAUUUGAGUGUGCGUCGUGAUGGGGAUAGAAUAUUGUAAUUAUUACUCUUCAACGAGGAAUUCCUAGUAAGCGCGAGUCAUCAGCUCGUGCUGAUUACGUCCCUGCCCUUUGUACACACCGCCCGUCGCUCCUACCGAUUGAAUGAUCCGGUGAAUAAUUCGGACUGCAGCAGUGUUCAGUUCCUGAACGUUGCAGCGGAAAGUUUAGUGAACCUUAUCACUUAGAGGAAGGAGAAGUCGUAACA
rnacentral:rRNA from 1 species